ACCUAGCUGGCGCAGUGGGUAGAGCCUGUGACUCUUGAUCUCAGGGUUGUGAGUUUGAGCCCCACGAUGGGUG
rnacentral:tRNA from 1 species